GUCACAACCACUUUUGUGCCUACUGGCACCUUGCCUUCUGCACUUGAAGGUGACUAUCACUCAAUGAUGCCUGACGACCAUCGCCUGUUGUUCCCUCCCAGGUUUCCGAGUCUCUAUGUGAAAAAUAAAAUAUUCGAUCAGUUCAAAUUAGAUUAUUUUAAGAAGUUUCGUGGCAAUAAGAUAGGGGAGCAGGAGGCCCGAAGCAAGUAUUUAUCCCAGGAGGAGUACAUGCAGGUCAUGCCCUCCUGGACGAAAAAUUGUACUGAUUCAUGGUAGAGCCUUUCUCGGAAAUGGUCGUCUGAGACUUGGAAGAAGAGGCCAAUGGAAUCAAGAAAGAGAAGAAAUAUGAACAGGCAGCCAAGCCACCGGCAGGGAAGCAGUUCUCUGCUUCGCCUGUGCCAGAAAAAAGCAAAUCUCCUAAACAUCUCUUGUGUCUUUUAAUUCAUUAACGAUAUUAUCCUGAAGUUUAUCUUCUUUUUUGUGGUAAUCCUGAAGCUUAUAGUAAACGUUGGGACCGUGAAUCUCUAAAACAGCUUCCUUAUAGGCCUCCUGUAGAUAGACAAUUGACACAUUAAUGACAGAGCGAGUGCUUAUACUCCAAAAGAUAAUGGGAAAAACAACUGAUAUAAUUACUAGUCUCUGUAAUGCAAGGUCGUUGCAGAGGCUACCAGGGUUGCUUGAGUCCUUGCUUCUGUGACCAUACAAAAAGCCCUCGCUGAAGAUAGAGGAGAGCCGGCGUGCCUGUGACGAGGAGAUGAAGCAACAGAUGCGGCAGGAGUUAAAAGGAGCAGGUCGCAGCAGCUAUACAGUCGACCAACGAGUACUGCCUGUCGUAUCUCCAGAAUUACACCCAGCAGAGCGGAGCCAACAUUUCGCCGCCGCUUUUCCCGGCGUUUCAUCGUGCUUCCCAAGCUGUUUGAAUUUUGCACCUGUUGUGUAUAUGGAAGCACAAGGGUUUACAAGACUUUUUUCCUUUUUUCGUGUUUAAGGGUACAUCUGAUUCAGCCUCUGCACAGCGUGGAACACCGGACGGGCAUGGUGUCAGUGGGAGCGGCAGUGAGCCUGGAGAGGAUAGUCAGGAUUUCAAUUUAGUUUUACAAUUUUUUUCGUUUACCGGCGAAAAGAUUGAAAUUUUAUUGAAAUUUCAGUCAUACUUCGUCCGUUGCUCGGUAGGUUCCAUAUGUUAGUGAAAAAAAUUCGAAAUUAAAUAUUUC